rnacentral:lncRNA from 1 species
UUCACUGCAAUGUGCCCAUGCACCAUGCACCAUGCACCAUGCACCCUCUUGUACCAUGCCAGGUCGCUGCCCCUAGUCACAUCUGCUCCUGGAAGUCCAAGUAGGGGUCUGCAGGCCUGUUGGACAUGUAUUGCAUGAAGAAAACUCACUUCAUCUGGUUUAUGUAAAAAGAACAUUGGGUUUCGAUUAAUGGCAGAGUCUCAGGACUGCCUUUAGAUGGUUCAGGAGGUCUCUGUGGUCCUGCCUACCCGUCUGUGUGUUGGCUUCAUUUGUAGGGUCGCAUGGGAGCCCAGGGUUCACUGGCAGCAUCUGUCUUGUGCCUCCUUUAAUGUAGGGAGCAGUAACAAAAGCAAGGGCUCUGUUCCGAGGGCAGAAGCAACUUUCUGGGUUUCACUUUGUGGCCAUUUCUUCCACCCAUGUGUUCUAGAGAUUGGUCAGCUCAGGCCAUGGGGUCCCCAGCCCCAGAGAGGGGAAGAGGACAAAACGGUUCUUUGGAGGAAACAUGGAGUUCUGAACAAGUGAAGAGGAUUGCCAGAUUAAAAAACCUAACAAAGGGGUUGGGGAUUUAGCUCAGCGGUAGAGCGCUUGCCUAGGAAGCGGAAGGCCCUGGGUUCGGUCCCCAGCUCCGAAAAAAAGAACC